GCCAGGUAUAGGGUUGUACGUGUCUGUAUUCUCAGCUACUCAGGAGGCUGAGGCAGAAGGAUUGCUUGAGCCCAGGAGUUCUGGGCUGUAGUACGCUAUGCCAAUCAGGUGUCUGCACUAAGUUUAGCAUCAAUAUGGUGACCUCCUUGGAGCAGGGGACCACCAGGUUGCCUAAAGAGCAGUGAACUGGCCCAGGUUGGAAAUGGAGCAGGUCAAAACUCCUGUGCUGAACAAUAGUGGGAUUGCUCCUAUGAAUAGCCACUGCACUCCAGCCUGGCAACAUAGCAAGAUCCCAUCCCUA
rnacentral:SRP_RNA from 2 species